AAUUUAACUAAACAAGAAUAUUCUGAGUGGUCUGAAACAAAUAGGUCUUUAGGGCAACUUUAAAUUCAGAAAGCGAUGAGAUAUUGCGAAUGGCGAGGGGUAGUUUGUUCCAAAGAUGAGGACCUGCGUGAGAAAAUGAUCGAUCACCCUGUAAUGGUUGUGUUGAUUAUAUUUCUUGUUCUUCUAUAAUGACCCCUUUCUCUGGUUGUUUAUUCACUACAAACCUUGCAUUUACCUUGUUAUUUAUUCAUGUGACUUGAGGGAAGUCUACUCAGUGUGACUCGAGACAAGGCUAUACAAAGUAUUGAUUUUUCUAGUGGAGCCAAAAAUAGUAUUGAUUUAUGGAGCUGUGAUUUUGAACUUGUAUUUUGUGAAUAUUUCUUAGUCAAGGAAAAUGAACAUUAUGUUUAGAUUUUAAAGAAGAAUUAUGCUUAUCUUGAUUAGAAAUGUGUAUUAUCAAAUUAUUUGUCAUCAUAGGUUUGGCUUUAGAUCACUUUUGUGGAUUGUUCACUUGACGUGAACUGCACGUUGUUAAUUCACAGCUCCCAAACCAUGCGGUCGCGGCAAGGCCUAGGCUAGGCAGUGCCUGCCCGAUCUUUACAGGUGGCCCCACCUGGGCCGAUUCAGUUUGAAUAAACAAUCAGAGCAAGGGA